AAAAUGACCAGAGGCAAAGGAACUGGAGGUAGUAGUGAGAAUGGAGGGAAAAUGACUCUAUUUGUCCAAGAGCAGUUUAGAAACAUACUGUCUGGAGCGUCCCUUGUUCUGUUCCCCACACUUCUGUGCUUCAUGCCUCCACCUGGACUCAAAGGCUCAGUAGAAGGAAAAAGAAAUAAACUAACACUUGUGAAAGGGCUACUUCAUGUUUGGGCAUGGUGGCUCAUGCCUGUAAUCCUAGCACAUCGGGG
rnacentral:lncRNA from 1 species